CAUUGUUUAUCUGAGUCUCAAUCCACUCCAUCAGCAGCUCAAUAUAUUUUUGUGCAGGCAGCGCAGUGGGUUUUUUGUAUCUAUAAUUUAAUAAUGAAAUAGCCACCUGACAUUGUCGGACACGUAGUCUCAUUGCAGAAUUCAGACACCGUACCAUAAAUGAGAUUGAUGCGAUUGAAGAAGUCAACAACUGUAAAAGAAGAGCAAUAUAUUAUUGAAAGAAGAGCCAGUCAUGCAAUACAAAGAUGGGACAUCUAGAAUAAACUCUUCCGCACAACAUCAGGAGCAUCGGGGUUCCCGAACGAUCACACCUUAUCUAAUGGCUGUCCAGCACUAAUAAUUGGCAGCUCUAGAGAGUAAAGAACCUGAGUAACUACGAUGUUGAGCGUGAGCUGCCGUCCAAAUGCUUUGUGUGAAAAACUUCGUUCUUGAUGUCUCAUCUACAUAUGAA